AUAUAUAAGAAGAACAAAAGAUCUUUCUUGAUCAAUCCCUUUGCCCCUCAUUCUUCAAGAAUAAGGAAGAUCCUUUUCAAGUUUGAAUUUGUUCAUUUGGAAUCUGGGUUCUUCUACUUCAUAUUUAUUUAAUAUGAAUAUUUUCCCUCUCUUUUUUUUAUAUCAUUCCUUAAGUCCCAUAGGUACAGUGUUUGAAUCAAUAGAGAACCUUUUCUUCUGUAUGAAUCGAUAUUAUUCCAUUCCAAAUC
rnacentral:lncRNA from 1 species